ACAGCCACAUCACGUUGAAAUACCCGUUCCUGUAUGAUCUCCGAAGUUAAGCAACGUCGAUCCUGGUAGGUACCUAGAUGGGUACCCGCUUGAGAAUAGCAAGCGUUGUAA